rnacentral:lncRNA from 1 species
CGUCCUUCCCCCUCAGCUCCUGCACCUCCCGUGAGAGGCGGUCGGGGUGAAAGGGCUCCCUGGGGGACACUGCCAGGGUCUGACCCCGAGGACAGGAGAGCCCCAGCCCUGCUCUAGCAGAGACAGAACAUCAAGAGUUAAUGCGAAAGUGAAACUCAGGGAGCGCUUUCAGAAACUUCUCAAAAACCGUCUACCCGGAUGUAAACUAGCGUAAUAUUUCCAUCCCUCCCUUGGCCCCUCUGAGAACAACAGACGCAGGACAGGGACCAGACUUAGAGCAGAUUCAUCUCAGCUCUCGCUCCCACCCAGCCCACCAUGGGUAAAGCCGCAGCUGCAGCUAAAGUUGCAGGUACAGUUGCAGCUAAAGUUGCAGGUACAGCUGCAACUGGAAGUGCAGUCGUCGUUGUAGCUGUUGUUGUACUCGGUUUGGCAGUGGUCGCUGCAGGAACAUAUGUAGCAGUGAAAAGGGGCUUAGGGACGAAAUUUUGUGUGAAGGUGAAAGGAAUUUUAGACUUCACAUAUGAAACUGGGGGAAAACAAAUGGCCUGACACUGCUCUGCAAGCAGUAGCCCUUGCCUUGCUGCCCAAAGGACGAACUGAUAAUAACUGCUAAUGAAGAUAACCACCUUUCCUGCCUUGCAAGCGUGUCUUCCCAGUGCAGGAAAUGGAAAUCCGCCUCUGACACUCAGCUGCUCAAUGAAAAGAUUUGCACUGCUUUGAGUAGUAAAUGCUUAGAAACCUGUAAUAAAAGACCUUUCCUGGUAUGGGUGUGGUGUUG